rnacentral:lncRNA from 1 species
CGGGCUGCCUGCGGAGCCCAGGCGCUUGGCUUCAGAGGAUGGUGCCCAGCGGCCCCUCCGAUGCCCGCCAGGGACCCCUCCGACGCCCCCGAGCGCCUGCCGGGCUGCAACACCGGAGGAAGCAGGAUGAGCGGGCGCAGAGAGAGGCAGGGAAAGAGGCAGCCGGUGACCACCGCACCCGCGGCCCAGAGCGUCUGCGUGAUCCGGGCCCCAGUUUCUCCCCAGGGUGGCUUUUGUUGUUACUCGCGAUCUGGAAAAUCGGGCCCACAGUGGGUGCCAGGGUGGCUGCCUCCGCCUCCUGCUGAAGCGAGGACUCAGGCACGAGGAGAAGGCCCUCGCAAGGCUGGUUCUCUCCUGAGUCCGUCCUCAUUUGGGGCGGCUGAGAGGGAAGGACGAAGUUAUUAAAGCCUUGCUCCCUGGGCCUGUCACUCAGGCACCUCGUCGCUGGCGGCCUCUCCGGCUGGGUCUUCACAGCCGCCUCUGCAGCCCUGGGAUUCGCUGGUGCUCAGAGGCCUGGCACCCCCACGGCCUGGGUGACCCUUUCUCAGCCCUUGACAGGAGUGACUUUCAAGGACAUGAAGAAGCUGAGGACCUUUUCAAGUGUGGGCAUCACCAUUUCUCUUGGUGCCAGGUCUCAGCUGCCCAUCCAGCCGCUACCUCUGGAAACGCUCCUGUCUGCCCCGGGCCCUCCCCAUGGAGUCUGACCCCAGCACAGACCUCCAGGGAUUCCCGAAGCAGUCCUGGAUGCCACAGACCCCACUGCAGUCCCGAACACCCCUAGCUGCUUCAUCCACCUGUUUGACAACUACCCUGCCCUAAGUAUGCCAACAUAAGCCAUCCUCUGACUUUAUAAAGACUUAGGAACUGCACAGUCCAUGAGACUGUCCAUGCC